rnacentral:misc_RNA from 1 species
AAUCUAUUCAUGGAAUUAGGAAAUUCUUGGAGAAGGGUAUCCAUGAUGAACAACAACAGUUCUUUCGGUUCCCAAACAAUUUGAGGAAAAGCAAUCAGGACAAGAUAAGAAACCUAAGGCUCACGUUUCCCAGAUAUUUUUAAAAAUUAAAAUAGGAAAAAGUCUUGACCUAUUUUUAAACAGUUGAGUCGAUCUCAGCUGAAUAAAU